rnacentral:rRNA from 1 species
CCUACGGGAGGCAGCAGUGAGGAAUAUUGGUCAAUGGGCUUACGCCUGAACCAGCCAAGUCGCGUGAGGGAAGACUGCCCUAUGGGUUGUAAACCUCUUUUGUCAGGGAGCAACGCCGGCUACGUGUAGCCGGACUGAGAGUACCUGAAGAAAAAGCAUCGGCUAACUCCGUGCCAGCAGCCGCGGUAAUACGGAGGAUGCGAGCGUUAUCCGGUUUUAUGGGGUUAAAGGGGUGCGUAGGCGGAAUGCCAAGUCAGCGGUAAAAUCGCGGGGCUCAACCUCGCUCCGCCGUUGAUACUGGCGUUCUUGAGUGGGCGAGAAGUAUGCGGAAUGCGUGGUGUAGCGGUGAAAUGCAUAGAUAUCACGCAGAACUCCGAUUGCGAAGGCAGCAUACCGGCGCCCAACUGACGCUGAAGCACGAAAGCGUGGGUAUCGAACAGGAUUAGAUACCCCUGUAGUC